rnacentral:rRNA from 1 species
AAUCAACGCUGGCGGCGUGCCUCAGACAUGCAAGUCGAACGAGAAAGUUCCCUUCGGGGAAUGAGUAAAGUGGCGCACGGGUGAGUAACACGUAGGUAAUCUACCUUCGGGUGGGGAAUAACCCAGGGAAACUUGGGCUAACACCGCAUAAUGCAGCGGCACCACAUGGUGACAGUUGUUAAAGCGGGGGAUUUUAGGACCUCGCGCC